rnacentral:lncRNA from 1 species
AGUUGGAAGCCUGGGACAGGACUCGGAGUGGGAAGACUGGGCCAGAGGUCCAGAGAAGAAUUCCCAGCUCCCUGCCAGGGGAUUUGGCUGCAGAAUUCCUUAUGGAGGAGCGAAGUGUCCUUAAAAUGAAGGCUGUUUGGGUUCAUCUGUUUAACCAGCCCAGGCUCAACCAGCAGUUCAGCCAUGUAAUGUGCCUGCUCCCCCUUUGCCUUCUGCCACGAGUGGAAGCUUCCUGAGGCCUCAUCAGAAGCAGAUACUGGCUCCUUGCUUCCUGUACAGCCUGUGGAACCAUGAGCCAAAUAAACCUCUUUUCUUUAUAAAUUACCCAGCCUCAGAUAUUCCCUUAUUGGAGUGCAAAACAGACUAACACAGGAUCCAAUUUGACAGAAGAGGCCAGCGCCACGGGAGUGGUGUGGACUGCAGCUAUAAACAGGGGAUUGUCAGGGGCAAGGAGGUCACCAAAGGAGGGGUGCCCUGCAGAGGAUGUGCAAGAACUGAGCCCAGGGCCUCCCAGAAAUUUAGAGGAUGGAGACUGAGAGGGGCGGGGGGAAACCUGGGUCAGGUUGGAGUCUUACAGACCAAGUGGAAAGGCUUCUAAAG